GGCGGCUCGGGCAUCAGCGUCACCGUCGGCGCCCCCAACGACGUGCUCUCCAACAUCGCCGCCAGCCCCGCCGCCGCCGCGUCCUGGGUCCGCAACAACAUCCAGGCGUACCCGUCCGUGUCCUUCCGCUACAUCUGCGUCGGCAACGAGGUCGCCGGCGGCGCGGCUCAGAACCUGGCGCCGGCGAUGGAGAACGUCCACGCCGCGCUGGCCGCUGCCGGGCUCGGCCACAUCAAGGUGACGACGUCGGUGUCGCAGGCCAUCCUGGGCGUGUACAGCCCGCCCUCCGCCGCCGAGUUCACCGGCGAGGCCAAGGGGUACAUGGGCCCCGUGCUGUCGUUCCUGGCCCGGACCGGGUCGCCGCUGAUGGCCAACAUCUACCCGUACCUUGCGUGGGCCUACAACCCGAGCGCCAUGGACAUGAGCUACGCGCUCUUCACCUCCAAGGGCACGGUGGUGCAGGACGGCGCCUACGGGUACCAGAACCUGUUCGACACGACGGUGGACGCCUUCUACUUCGCCAUGGGCCGGCACGGCGGCUCCGGCGUGCCGCUGGUGGUGUCGGAGAGCGGGUGGCCGUCCGGCGGCGGCGAGCAGGCGAACGCGGCCAACGCCAGGAUCUACAACCAGUACCUGAUCAACCACGUCGGGCGCGGCACGCCGAGGCACCCCGGCGGCAUCGAGACCUACCUCUUCUCCAUGUUCAACGAGAACCAGAAGGACAGCGGCGUGGAGCAGAACUGGGGGCUCUUCUACCCCAACAUGCAGCACGUCUACCCCAUCAGCUUCUGAUCACCGGAGCUCUCGUCUAUGAUUAAGUACGUAUACGGGGUACG
rnacentral:lncRNA from 1 species